UAGGUGAACCUGCGGAAGGAUCAUUAUCGAAAUUAUUGGUGAGGGUUGUAGCUGGCCUUUCGAGGCAUGUGCACGCUCGAGCCCUUAAUCCACUUUACACCUGUGCACUUAAUGUAGGUCGCCCUUAAAAAAGGUGACCUAUGUCUUAUCAUCAACCCAUCGUAUGUCUCAUAGAAUGUAAUCGAUAUCCUCGCCCURAAAAAGCGUUGAUAAACUUAUACAACUUUCAACAACGGAUCUCUUGGCUCUCGCAUCGAUGAAGAACGCAGCGAAAUGCGAUAAGUAAUGUGAAUUGCAGAUUUUCAGUGAAUCAUCGAAUCUUUGAACGCACCUUGCGCUCCUUGGUAUUCCGAGGAGCAUGCCUGUUUGAGUGUCAUUAAAUUCUCAACUCCAAGGGUUUCACRACCUUUCGGAGAUUGGACUUGGAGGUGCUGGCCGCAUAUUGGUCGGCUCCUCUCAAAUGCAUCAGCGGAAUUCAACCUUUGGCUUCCGGAUGUCAGUGUGAUAAUCAUGUAGCRCUGUCGUUUGAUCCCUCAGAGUCCGCUUAUAAUGGUCUUCGGACAAAAUCAUCAUCAAAUUUGACCUCAAAUCAGGUA
rnacentral:rRNA from 1 species